GAUGAACGCUGGCGGCGUGCCUAAUACAUGCAAGUCGAGCGAAGCGGGGACGGGUGAGUAACACGUGGAUAACCUCCUAUAAGACUGGGAUAACUUCGGGAAACCGGAGCUAAACCGGAUACUAUAGAUGGAUCUGCGCUGCAUUAGCUAGUUGGUAAGGUACCGGCUGACAAAGGCAACGAUGCAUAGCCGACCUGAGAGGGGGAGCGGCCACACGGGAACUGAGACACGGCCCAGACUCCUACGGGAGUCAGCAGUGGGGAAUCUUGUGCAAUGGGCGAAAGCCUGACGGAGAAACUCCGCGUGAGUGAUGAAGGUCUUCGGAUCGUAAAACUCUGUUAUUAGGGAAGGGGUACCUAAUCAGAAAGCCACGGCUAACUACGUGCCAGCCGCCGCGGUAAUAC
rnacentral:rRNA from 1 species